rfam:Scleropages formosus scaffold1168, whole genome shotgun sequence.
CUGGGCUAUGGGGACAUGUACCCAGUUACAUGGUCAGGGAUGCUGGUGGGAGCACUGUGCGCUUUGGCCGGUGUGUUAACCAUCGCCAUGCCCGUCCCUGUCAUAGUCAACAAU